AGUGAACGCUGGCGGUAGGCCUAACACAUGCAAGUCGAACGGCAGCACAGUAAGAGCUUGCUCUUACGGGUGGCGAGUGGCGGACGGGUGAGGAAUACAUCGGAAUCUACUUUUUCGUGGGGGAUAACGUAGGGAAACUUACGCUAAUAUCGGAUACGACCUACGGGUGAAAGCAGGGGAUCUUCGGACCUUGUGGGAUUGAAUGAGCCGAUGUCGGAUUAGCUAGUUGGCGGGGUAAAGGCCAAGCAAGGCGACGGUCGGUAGCUGGUCUGAGAGGGUGAUAAGCCACAUUGGAACGGAGACAGGCUCCAGACUCCUAGGGGAGGAACCAGUGGGGAAUAUUGGGCAAUGGGGGCAAGCCUGAUCCAGCCAUACGGCGUGGGUGAAGACGGCGUUCGGGUUGUAAAGCCCUUUUGUUGGGAAAGAAAAGCAGCAGGUUAAUACCCCGCUGUUCUGACGGUACCCAGAGAAUAAGCACCGGCUAACUUCGUG
rnacentral:rRNA from 1 species